rnacentral:ncRNA from 1 species
AGCACGCAUGACGGGUGUUCGAGGCUUCACUACACAGUCGGCCUCGUUCUGAGAAUCACCGUUAGAACUUGAUCUGGACAAUACCAGCGAAAGGACAUGCUUGCUUUACUCC